rnacentral:misc_RNA from 1 species
GAUGAAGAACGUAGCGAAAUGCGAUACUUGGUGUGAAUUGCAGAAUCCCGUGAACCAUCGAGUCUUUGAACGCGAGUUGCGCCCGAAGCCAUUAGGCCGAGGGCACGCCUGCCUGGGCGUCACACGUCGUUGCCCCCCCAUCUACUCCUUCGGGAUUGCGGGGGGCGGAUGAUGGCCUCUCGUGCGCCUCGUCGCGCGGUUGGCCUAAAUGCCAAGUCCUCGGCGACGCACGCCACGACAAUCGGUGGUUGCGAAACCUCGGUUGCCUGUCGUGUGCGGUCGUCGCGCAUCGAGGGCUCGAAAAAAUUGCCGGGCUUCGGCUCGACUUUCAACGCGACCCCAGGUCAGGCGGGGUUACCCGCUGAAUUUAAGCAUAUCAAUAAGCGGAGGA